AUUGAACGCUGGCGGCAUGCUUUACACAUGCAAGUCGGACGAGUGGCGUACGGGUGAGUAACGCAUCGGAACGUACCGAGUAAUGGGGGUUAACUGUCCGACAGGACAGCUAAUACCGCAUAUUAUUCGAGCGGCCGAUGUCUGAUUAGCUGGUGGGCGGGGUAAAGGCGCACCAGGGCGAGGAUCAGUAGCGGGUCUGAGAGGAUGAUCAGCCACACUGGGACUGAGAAACGGCCCAGACUCCUACGGUAGGCAGCAGUGGGGAAUUUUGGACAAGGGGCGAAAGCCUGAUCCAGCCAUGCCGCGUGUCUGAAGAAGGCCUUCGGGUUGUAAAGGACUUUUGUCAGGGAAGCGGUACCUGCAGAAUAAGCACCGGCUAACUACGUGCCAGCAGCCGCGGUAAUUC
rnacentral:rRNA from 1 species